rnacentral:rRNA from 1 species
ACGGCGUAGGCUGUUGAGUAAGUCGGACGUGAAAGCCCCUGGCUCAACUGGGGGAGGCCGUUCGAUACUGCUCGGCUUGAGGGUGAGAGGGAAAGUGGAAUUCCCGGUGUAGCGGUGGAAUGCGUAGAGAUCGGGAGGAACACCAGUGGCGAAGGCGGCUUUCUGGCUCACCCCUGACGCUGAGAGCGCGAAAGCGUGGGGAGCAAACGGGAUUAGAUACCCCGGUAGUCCACGCUAUAAACGAUGAGAGCUGGGUGUUGGUGGGAUUUCCCAUCUGUGCCGAAGCAAACGCGUUAAGCUCUCCGCCUGGGGACUACGAACGCAAGUUUAAA